GGAAGUAAAAUCGUAACAAGGUCUCCGUAGGUGAACCUGCGGAGGGAUCAUUACAGAGUUCAUGCCCUAACGGGUAGAUCUCCCACCCUAUGUUAUCAUCACUUUGUUGCUUUGGCGGGCCGUCAGGCCUCGGCUUGGCUACCGGCUCUCGCUGGUAAGCGCCCGCCAGAGAACCCCAAACCCUGAAUAUCAGUGUCGUCUGAGUACUAUAUAAUAGUUAAAACUUUCAACAACGGAUCUCUUGGUUCUG
rnacentral:misc_RNA from 1 species